AAUUCUAAUUCAUUUUAGGAUAACCCUUUGAACUUAAGCAUAUCAGUAAAAGGAGGAAAAGAAACUAACAAGGAUUUCUUUAGUAGUGGCGAAUGAACAAGAAAGAACUCAUUAUGUAAUCUAUAUUCAUUAUAGAGAUGUUAAAAGUUAUUGUUGUCAUUCAAAUCAUAGAUACAUUAAAUUGUAGUAAAUGAUGACGAUAAAUAAACAAUGUAGAGUACGAUUGCUUGGUAGUGCAAUUGGAAUAUAGAUAGAAUAAAAUAUUCUAAAGUUAAAUAUAAAUGACAU
rnacentral:ncRNA from 1 species